CUUCAUUCAGGCUCAGGAGACAAAGGCGGGCGAGGGACAGGCAAUAAUCAAUGUCAGGGCAUUCAUGGGGCAGAGAUGGGGCAGGCAGGCAGACCAGAGAGCUACAAAUUAAAGUGCUUCUAGAAAGUGUACUUCUUCUAAAACUUACGUAUUAAAUAUAAGAAGUGUUUUCCUCCAAGUAGAGCAAAGGAAACCAUCUGUACAUGACUGAGCGGGGCCACUGGUGAAGUUCCUCCGCACGUUAAAGAAACACUUGUAUGUGCCACGACGGAGCAAGUCUCCUUUCUAGAGUCGUCCUUGCAUGACGCCAGAUGUAUCUAUUGCCAUUCAGCGAAACCUUGCUAUGAACUCUCCGUCGAAAUCAUAAUGUUUCCCACUGCUGUGACCCAAUCAAACACUGAAUCAAAUGGGUAUCCCUGGUAAAGGUUCAAACGGCCAACGGACGGAGAGCAGGCCGAAAUGACUGGGAGGUUUUUCAACAGUUGGUGAACAGAUGUCUUCGUCCGGGUCGUCAUCCCGUUGCUCUGCUACAAUAUGGGACGUGCCAGAGGAGGGAAAAACAUGUGAGUGACGGCGGCAGGGCUUUGUGUGCAGCCUAGAAAAAUCAGCACAUGAUUUAGAGAAAGGGUUGGGAUCUACAAAUACUAAUUCAGUCGCCAUGGACUGGAUGGUAUUCGUGGUCGUUCCAAUGUGCACACAAUACAUCCAUGACACGACGGGAGCACCGGUGGUUUAUAUGUAUCUGCCUCUUGUGAAGGUCAAAUUUUUUUGAAUCGAAAAAUGCUGACGGGACGAAAGCUGCAAUGGGAGCAUAUGAGCAGAAUUUGAUGUGAAACGACAGGCUCACAGGGUCUCUAGUGGGCAGGCGGGCAAAAAGAAAAAGUCCAAAUACUCAAAUGAACAGCGAACGACAAAGUUGAAGACGCCAGGUUAAACAGGGCAGGUCAACAGAAGAGACGAACUGACUGAGAGGACUGAGGAGCACGGACACUAAAUACACAAGGGAGGCCGGGAUAAUUGGACACCAGUGAAACACAGAUUGGUGGGACAGACAAUGACAAAGGCGGGAAACUCGACAAAGACAGUUAGUAAAACAAACACUCAAAAUUGUUAAUAUAAAAAAACCCAGAAGUUUUAAAAGUCCAAUUUUAAAGCUUGAUAUUCUCAGUGUUCCUUAAUAUAAAAAGAUAGAAACAAAUCAAUAUCUUCAAUGAUGGCAUAUCACUGCAACUAGUGUUCUUGGGGAAAUAAUGCAAUACAUAAAUAGAAACAUAGCCUAUCAACCUGUUUUGCUGAGAAUACGAUGCCAAACAGACCUUUUGAAUUUCCUCUUAUCGUCCCUAAAAGAGAACAGGGACAUUUAAUAUAUCAACUGCUCCCACAUGCUUCUAUAAUGCCUCCAUCACAGCAUGGAUCGGGGGAGAAGGAGCACUCUGGGCUGUUUCCUAUAUUCAUCUUCAUGCAGAUACAUGAACAGAGCUUUCAGUUCAGACAACAGGAAAGACCACGCAAACUUUGGACUGUGGGAGGAAGCCGGAGAACCCGGAGAGAACCCACGCAUACACGGGCAGAACAUGCAACAUGCAAACUCCUCACAGAAAGGCCCUGGUUGGUUUUGAACCCGGGAUGCGAACCCAGAACCUCCUUGCUGUGAAGCGAAAGUGCGGACCACUACGCCACCGUGCAGCCCCUGAUGAAUGCCAAUCCAAGGUAUGAAAAAAAGAACAACUCAAUGCCUGCAUGGAAAGCUAAUGUUUUUUGGAAAAGAAACACCCCCCCCCCACAGUUUAUCCCUUGAGGAGAAAAAAAAAAUCAAUCCGAUCUUAUCAGUGGGCAGUUGUGAGAGGCAGAGAUAAGGGAGCCGCGGGGAGAGGAACUGGCUGCCUCAUCUCAGACAGCAGAGCAGAGCAUGCUGCAUGGGCCAUUGAGCAAUGGCAGGGGGGGGGUAUUCCUUUCAAUAUGCUUUGACUGUAAUUGUUGGACCCUAUAUGCACAUGGGAAUAUGACUGUGUGAGAAUGUUACAUGAAUUUGACACCGUGAGAUUGGGCCUGAUCUUGUUUAUGUGUGUGUGCGCGUGUGUGUGUGUGUGUGUGUGUGUGUUGGUGUGCGUGCGUGGACAGUGUGUGUCCGGGUGUGAAAACUCAUUCCUCUUGUGAUGCAUCUCGGUUCCAUUUGCAGACCGUGUAAGACCGGUGACUGAAACCCCAUUAUCCGGCUGAGGCAGGGGCCUUCUCACUCCAGCCCGCUGAACCAUAAUGAGCUCCACACAGCGGCCAACUUGUCUGCCCAAAUAAAUCACUCUACCCCUCGUGUGCAUGGACACACACACACACACACACACACACACACACACAUCUCCAUUAGACCUGUAAUAGAUGCACAUAUAACUCCAUUAAACCCUGACACUCAAAGUCCAGUGACUACAGAGGACGCGAAGGUGAGGAUUUUCUUUUCCUUGUAUCCACAUGCAGGGAUGAAACUCUCUAGCGCCUUCCAGCGCUAACGGAAACUGAACAUCAUAACCUGGAAUUUGUUGCAGGGCUGUUGUUAUUAAACUGCAUUGCGUUUAAGCCAAGUGACAACCCACUGUGACGUCACCCAUUGGUUUGCGCACUGCCGUUUUUGAAUCUGUGGCACAAAUGUUUCUUGUAACAAAAAAAUGGGUACAUUGAAAGCCUUAAAUACAUUCAGUAGGUUUUUUGGAUGACGCCCUUAAGCUUUCCAUUCUUCCAAGCACAUGGCUGAGACAGAAACAUCAGCUGGAGAGUCCAUUUGCCAAGCUUCCCUCGUGUAAAACCCACAGCGAAGCGAUCUGCCACAUCACUUAGUGACCCGUCACCAACAACCAUCCCCAAGUUAUUCAAAAUAUGUGGAGCUGCGUACCUGUGCACGCCUGCAGAGUCACAUGAUAGAAAUUCGCCAAUAUGCCGAUAAAAGAGGACAGACGAUGUUAUUACAUCUUUGAGUCCAAACAAUCUGGUAUGUGUAAAUAGAGUAGUCACCAUUGCAAGUUUUCCCACUGUGUGCAGCACAGAUCCAGUCGUGGCACUCGCAGCGAGGCCCGUAGAACUUCCCUGGAUCGGUGGCCGCGCAGACGCAGCCGCCGCAGUCGCAUUUGCCCCUCCCACUGCAGACCUUGCCAUCGGGCGUGCGGCAGCGUCGCAGGGACGACUCCGUGGACAGUCUGCACGCGCCACCCACCUGGCUGGGGAAAAAAAAAAGGAGGACAGGUCAGUUGAUCUGCAGCUCCGCGAACUUGUGAGGGUCAAGGAUCAAGUGCGCUGCCACCUGUGACCGUCUUAAAUACAUAAUAGCACAUCUGAGCAGAAGCACCUUUAAAAAGUACCUUUGCACAGAUGUGGCGGCAACGUCCUUCUCCACUCAUCAGAAACUGCCCACUCAAGGUGUAUGGCAUGUAUAUUAUGAAUACAAGCAUUUAAUGAAUAAACCUUAACCCUUGUUUUUUC